rnacentral:rRNA from 1 species
GGGUUGUGAGGUUAAGCGACUAAGCGUACACGGUGGAUGCCCUGGCAGUCAGAGGCGAUGAAGGGCGUGCUAAUCUGCGAUAAGCGCCGGUAAGGUGAUAUGAACCGUUAUAACCGGCGAUACCCGAAUGGGGAAACCCAGUGUGACUCGUCACACUAUCAUUAACUGAAUCCAUAGGUUAAUGAGGCGAACCGGGGGAACUGAAACAUCUAAGUACCCCGAGGAAAAGAAAUCAACCGAGAUUCCCCCAGUAGCGGCGAGCGAACGGGGAGGAGCCCAGAGCCUGAAUCAGCAUGUGUGUUAGUGGAAGCGUCUGGAAAGGCGCGCGAUACAGGGUGACAGCCCCGUACACAAAAGCGCAUGUGCUGUGAGCUCGAUGAGUAGGGCGGGACACGUGGUAUCCUGUCUGAAUAUGGGGGGACCAUCCUCCAAGGCUAAAUACUCCUGACUGACCGAUAGUGAACCAGUACCGUGAGGGAAAGGCGAAAAGAACCCCGGCGAGGGGAGUGAAAAAGAACCUGAAACCGUGUACGUACAAGCAGUGGGAGCCCCACCACUAAGCCAGUGGUGAACUCCACAUACGCAUCCUUUGCUGAGGAUACGGUUAACGGAGCGCAAGCGACGUUCAACCGCAAAAGAAGCAGAGGGGGCUUAGUGGUGGGGUGACUGCGUACCUUUUGUAUAAUGGGUCAGCGACUUAUAUUCUGUAGCAAGGUUAACCGUAUAGGGGAGCCGGAGGGAAACCGAGUCUUAAUUGGGCGUUAAGUUGCAGGGUAUAGACCCGAAACCCGGUGAUCUAGCCAUGGGCAGGUUGAAGGUUGGGUAACACUAACUGGAGGACCGAACCGACUAAUGUUGAAAAAUUAGCGGAUGACCUGUGGCUGGGGGUGAAAGGCCA